rnacentral:rRNA from 1 species
GAUGAACGCUAGCGACAGGCCUAACACAUGCAAGUCGAGGGGCAGCAUGGUAUCAGCUUGCUGAUACCGAUGGCGACCGGCGCACGGGUGAGUAACGCGUAUGUAAUCUGCCUGUAACAGAGGGAUAACCCGGAGAAAUCCGGCCUAAUACCUCAUAGCACAUAUUAUUCGCAUGAGUUUUAUGUUAAAGAGACUCGGUUACAGAUGAACAUGCGUUCCAUUAGCUGGUUGGCGGGGUAACGGCCCACCAAGGCAACGAUGGAUAGGGGUUCUGAGAGGAAGGUCCCCCACACUGGUACUGAGACACGGACCAGACUCCUACGGGAGGCAGCAGUGAGGAAUAUUGGUCAAUGGGCGAGAGCCUGAACCAGCCAAGUCGCGUGGAGGAAGACGGCCUACGGUGUAAACUGCUUUUAUAAGGGAAUAAAGUGAGUCUCGUGAGACUUUUUGCAUGUACCUUAUGAAUAAGGACCGGCUAAUUCCGUGCCAG